UUAAUAAAAAAUGCAACUUUUCAUUUUUUGAAAUUCUUGAUAAUUCGUUGUCGCAAUUAUUUAAUAUAGAAAAUUUGAGAUAUAAAUGUGAAUUUUAUGAAAAUUUUGAAUUGUUUUAUCUAAUAAAUUAAAAGAUUAAAAUAUAAAAAUGCAUCAUAAAAAUAUUUAAAUUAUUUUAGCCAAUAAUUUAAAAGUGAUGACCUCUGGAUUUCCCUCACUCCGGACUAGGGGCUUGACCACAACCUAAGGCCCAUGGCGUAGGGGCACACACACUUGAUAUACAUAACAAGCCUGGAUCAUCCAACCUUCAAGACCGGGCUCGAUCCAUCUUCCUCACUCAAGCCGGCCCGGCCCACACGACGCAGGCCUUUUCCACUCAGGCUUAGCGCCCGGCCCAACUCUCAGUCCAGCCCAGGAUCCAGAAUAAUAUUCACCAGACAGCCUGGCAGAUCCGCUCGAACGUACGCACGAGGAGAAUCAGAGGCCGUUAUGCAUGGAGCAGGCGGCUGAUACCCUAGUACUUCCGAAUCCGCAUGGCAGAGACGCGUGGCCCAAUCCUGGAGAGACCUUUACACGUCACCAGCAAGCAAGACAAUGUAUAAAAGAGGAGUCUCCUCCUCAGAAAGUUUAGGCCUUAUUCUGUAACAAAAAACCCUGGAAAAACCCUAUUCUAUACAAAAAACCCUGGAAAAACCCUAUUCUAUUGGAUCUCAGAUCAUCAAUUGGCGCCGUCUGUGGGAAACGAAGGAGAUCUUUUCAUCACCGGAGUUUNNNN
rnacentral:lncRNA from 1 species